UUGGUAUUUUUAUUUUUUGUAUGUGUGCUUUGAACUCCGGGCUCCAGAAAUUGACUCGAGUGUGCUGACCUGACCUCAGAAGCCGACUGUCUGAUUGGAGCAACUCCGAUUCAAGCCCAGACAUCACUCACUCGGCCUCGCCCCUUUCCGGCAACUCUCCAGUAUGUACAGUAAUUACACUUUAUUAAACUUGUAUGUUAUUAAAUUCUCUUCAUUAUGUUUUCAUAUACUA